AUUGAACGCUGGCGGCAUGCCUAACACAUGCAAGUCGCACGAGAAAGGGGGCAACCCCGGUACAGUGGCGCACGGGUGAGUAACACGUAGAUGACCUUCCCUGGAGUGGUGGAUAACCUGACCGAAAGGCGGGCUAAUACAGCAUGGGACCACACGGCUUUGGCCGAGUGGUGAAAGCGGGCCUCUGUUCACAAGCUCGCGCUCUGGGAUGGAUCUGCGGCCCAUCAGCUAGUUGGUGAGGUAACGGCUCACCAAGGCUACGACGGGUAGCUGGUCUGAGAGGAUGAUCAGCCACACUGGAACUGAGACACGGUCCAGACUCCUACGGGAGGCAGCAGUGGGGAAUCUUGCGCAAUGGGCGAAAGCCUGACGCAGCGACGCCGCGUGGGUGACGAAGGCCUUCGGGUUGUAAAGCCCUGGUGGGGAGGAACGAACCGUCCGGGGGCCAAUACCCUCCGGGCCUGACGGUACCUCUUUAGCAAGCAUCGGCUAACUCUGUG
rnacentral:rRNA from 1 species